ensembl:lncRNA
UGAACUUUUUACACAUUGAAAUGACCAGUGAGUUAUGUUUCACAUUAUAUCCGAGAACAGCCGGCCUGCCAGAUCCAGCGUUGCAGCUGGAAUGCAGAAAAGCCCCAUUAUGUUAACUUGCAAAGUCUGGGAAAAACGAUUUGUUAUUCCCAAAACGUAAGUGAUUGUUUGUUUUUCUCCAGCACAUCUCAUACCCUGAAACUGUAGUGGCAUUUAAAGAAGUGGAAAACAACCUAAGCUGGGUUUGAGGUGGUAUAUGGUGAGGGUAGAGAUGGAAGGAAUGGAGGGCUGACAGCAGGGAGAAAAAGGGAAACUGAUCAAUAAGCAGAGGGUCACCAAGGGCGCAGGAAGAGUCUGCGUUAUUUUUGAGAAUUUAUUACAGUUUCAAGAGAACAGUUCACCAGACAUCUUCCGGCUGCUAGGGUUGCCUGGAACCCUCAACAGAGAGUAAGUGUGUGUGUGUGUGUGUGUGUGUGUGUGUGUGUGUUUCACUGUGUGUUCUUCUAUUUCACCCCUGGAGCUUUAAGAAGGGCCUAGACCAGUGUUGUCCAAUAGAAGUGUAAUACAAGCCACAUAUGUAAUUUAAAAUUUUCUAGUAGCCACAUUUUAAAAAGAAACCAGUAAAAUGAUUUAAUAAUGUAAUUUAUUUAACAUAUUCUAAAUAUUCGCCAGCCCUGAUGGUCUAGUGGUUAAGAUUUGGCACUCUCACCAGGUUCAUUUCUGGGUCGGGGAACCUCGCCACCCAUCUGUUGGUUGUCAUACUGUGGUACCGUAGUGACUGCAUGUCGCUGUGAUGCUGAAAGCUAUGCCACCACUAUUUCAAAUACCAGCAGGGUCACCCAGCGUGGAAGGUUUCAGUGGAGCUUCCAGACUGAGAUAGACAGGAAAAAGGACCUGGCCACCUACUUCCAAAAAAUUUGGCCGUGAAAACCCUAUGAAUAGCAGCAGAGCCUUCUCUGAUAUAGUGCCAGAAGGUGAGAGGACAAAAAGACAGGGCAGGCUUCCACCCUGCUGUGCAAUGUCCCUGGGAGUCAGAAUUGACUCUGCAGCACCAGCAACAAAGGGAAAUAUUUUAUCAUUUCAACAUAUAACAUACCUAAAACUCAUUAAUGAGAUGGGUUAAAUUUUCCUUUUCAUGCACCACCAUCUUUGAAAUCUGGUGUGUGUCUGGCAUGUAGUUACACUCACUGACAGCACGUCUCCCUGUGGACCAGCCACACUCUUUGUCUCAAUAGGCACAUGUGCUAGCUGUGGGAUGGUGUGGGCUGACCAGUGAAGAACAAUUGCCCUCUCAGGUGUAACUCGCUCGGCUCUGCUCAAGUCUUUGUAUUUCCCUAAAUCUGAAGCUCCUCCUCCUCUGGAGACCCCAGAACUCACCUCUCAAAGGCACCACGCCUACCAGCUCCUAGAAGAAUGGCGCAUGAGGCGUCGCUCUUUUGGCUGUCCCAUUAGCCUUCCUUCCUCAAUAGGUCAAGCAAAACUUUAUGAUUAAAAACCCCAGAACCUGGGAAAUACUUGAGUAAAAGCCCAUUGGCAUAGCAGCAUUGCAUCUGGACUUCCAGGAGAAAGCCAUUCUUUCUCCCUUGGUCUUUGCUGCCCGCUUCCAACCUUCGUCUUGCUGUCCUUUCUCAGUGAAUGUUCUUUCUUCUUCCUUAGUCUCCCUUUCCAGAUUGAGCAGGAUGGUCGUGGGGGCUGCUGGAGGGAUUUCUGUGUCCUGUCCUGGAGAACAUGGUCACAGAGGGGAGGCAGGGAGGGUCAGGCCCGCUCUCACUGUGCCGUCAGUCCUGCAGCAGAAAGUCAGUCUGAAGUUGGGCCAGUGCAUCUACAUGGAACAAAAGGCAAGUUGGAGGGACACCCUGCAAUGGUUCUUUAGGAUCUACAGAGGGGUGGCAAAUGCCCACAGCUGGGGCAGGUCGUACACACAAAUGAAGCUGUCCAGAUGUUAGCUGAGAUUGGUGGGAAAUAUGGGGACCAGGAAAACAUAGGCCUCCCCCAGGGAAUUUCAACUCAUCUUUAAUCCUGUGCAAACCAAACAAAACUGGACAGAGUCCCAGAGUCAUUGGUUUGUGAUCCUAUUAGAGGGACAAGGCCUGGGGAUCCACAUCACACCUGGCAGCAAGUGUCUGAAGAACUGCCACUUUGUCUUCUGUCCUACCUUCUUGGAUGUGCUGUCUAUCAGUUGCCUAACUUUGGGCUUUUGGAACCUGGCUCAUCUUCAUCUUCAUGUCAUGUCUUCAUCUUCAUCUGCAUGUCAACAACCACAUCACCGACUUUACAACCAACUUCCUGACCUUACAGACCCUCAGUCUUCACUUCUCAUGGCCCUAAACUCCAUUCAGGACUGGACCUUGAGAUGGGGUGAAAUGUAACUUGCAACUUGGAAACACAUGGCAGUUUGCUACCUCUGAACCUGUGUCAGUCACUGACUUUCUCCAUAGCCCUAAGCUGUAGGCUGACAGCCAAAGUAUUUUUGGAGGCUUAAACCCACCAGCUGAAAGAACAGACCCUCCUGCUGCCCCUUAGCAUCCCGUGGUCUGAGACAAGCCUGGACCCCUUCACAGCCUCCGCUGCCAGAGCUCUGCUGGGCUCUGCUGGGCUCCCUUGUUGGUGCACCCUAAGUCGUCUCCACGUUCUGGUUUGUCUCCAGUCCACCCACUGGGACUAGAGCCAUGCGCCGAAGUGCAGGUGGAAGCACUGACGCCCUGCCCAGUCCUGACCAGACCCCUUCUCAAGGGGUUAGCCUCUGCCCUAUUCUUCCAGCAAGGUGCCAGACAGAUCAAGUGGAACAAGAAUAUCAUUACCUUCCUAGUCCACCUGCCUUUACUGGAAACUUCUGCUCUUGCCCAAAUACUGGAACAGAUUUCCCCUUGGAAAAUGACCCUGGCUUGGAUCUUGCCCCUGUCUGCCACACCUAUUCCCAGCUUCCUCUUUCUCCUGGCUGAAGCCCCAAAACGCUGCCCUGCCAAGUCGCACAGCUCUGGUUCUGGGGCUGCUGAAUUUUCACCUGGGGACAAGGAAAAAUUGAAAAUCAGCAC